GGCGGACGGGUGAGUAAUGCCUGGGAAAUUGCCCUGAUGUGGGGGAUAACCAUUGGAAACGAUGGCUAAUACCGCAUAACGUCUACGGACCNNNGAGGGGGACCUUCGGGCCUCUCGCUUCAGGAUAUGCCCAGGUGGGAUUANCUAGUUGGNGAGGUAAUGGCUCACCAAGGCGACGAUCCCUAGCUGGUCUGAGAGGAUGAUCANCCACACUGGAACUGANACACGGUCCAGACUCCUACGGGAGGCAGCNNNGGGGAAUAUUGCACAAUGGGCGCAAGCCUGAUGCANCCAUGCCGCGUGUAUGAAGAAGGCCUUCGGGUUGUAAAGUACUUUCAGUCGUGAGGAAGGCGUUGAAGUUAAUANCUUCAUCGUUUGACGUUAGCGACAGAANAAGCACCGGCUAACUCCGUGCCAGCAGCCGCGGUAAUACGGAGGGUGCGAGCGUUAAUCGGAAUUACUGGGGCGUANAGCGCAUGCNNGUGGNUUGNUAAGUCAGAUGUGAAAGCCCGGGGCUCNACCUCNGAACCGCAUUUGA
rnacentral:rRNA from 1 species